GGCCUAAUAGCACAGUGGUUAGUGUGCCUGCUCUAAAUGCUUCGAUUUGGCCUUUUGUAAGCAGAAGAUCCUCGUUCGAUCCGGGGUUGGGUCA